UGAAAUGCGAAAAGUAAUGCGAUUUGCAUGAAUCUGUGAGUCAUCAAGUCUUUGAACGCACCUUGCACCGUAUGAGCAAUCGUACGGUAUACCUGUUUGAGAAUCGUAAAACUCUCUUUCCACCAGUUGGUGGGAGACUUGUCAGCUGUACCCUUGGGUACUCUGAUCAAAUGCAGUAAGUCUGAAUCAGGCUAGUGGCCUAGGACACUAUGUGCUAGAGACGUCGCGUUUGUUGACUGUCUUCUCAUGGUGCGUCCUAAGCUAUCUAAGCUGGUCUGGUAAAGCUUCUACAGUCGGUGCCUUGUGCACGACACCCCCCCUUUUUGAUCUCAAAUCAGGUAAGGCUACCCGCUGAACUUAA
rnacentral:misc_RNA from 1 species